rnacentral:rRNA from 1 species
ACGCUGGCGGCGUGCUUAACACAUGCAAGUCGAACGAAGAGCGAUGGAAGCUUGCUUCUAUCAAUCUUAGUGGCGAACGGGUGAGUAACGCGUAAUCAACCUGCCCUUCAGAGGGGGACAACAGUUGGAAACGACUGCUAAUACCGCAUACGAUCUAAUCUCGGCAUCGAGGAUGGAUGAAAGGUGGCCUCUAUUUAUAAGCUAUCACUGAAGGAGGGGAUUGCGUCUGAUUAGCUAGUUGGAGGGGUAACGGCCCACCAAGGCGAUGAUCAGUAGCCGGUCUGAGAGGAUGAACGGCCACAUUGGGACUGAGACACGGCCCAGGCUCCUACGGGAGGCAGCAGUGGGGAAUCUUCCGCAAUGGACGAAAGUCUGACGGAGCAACGCCGCGUGAGUGAUGACGGCCUUCGGGUUGUAAAGCUCUGUUAAUCGGGACGAAAGGUCUUCUUGCGAAUAGUUAGAAGAAUUGACGGUACCGGAAUAGAAAGCCACGGCUAACUACGUGCCAGCAGCCGCGGUAAUACGUAGGUGGCAAGCGUUGUCCGGAAUUAUUGGGCGUAAAGCGCGCGCAGGCGGAUUGGUCAGUCUGUCUUAAAAGUUCGGGGCUUAACCCCGUGAUGGGAUGGAAACUGCCAAUCUAGAGUAUCGGAGAGGAAAGUGGAAUUCCUAGUGUAGCGGUGAAAUGCGUAGAUAUUAGGAAGAACACCAGUGGCGAAGGCGACUUUCUGGACGAAAACUGACGCUGAGGCGCGAAAGCCAGGGGAGCGAGCGGGAUUAGAUACCCCGGUAGUCCUGGCCGUAAACGAUGGGUACUAGGUGUAGGAGGUAUCGACCCCUUCUGUGCCGGAGUUAACGCAAUAAGUACCCCGCCUGGGGAGUACGACCGCAAGGUUGAAACUC